AUCGAAACUCUUUUUGAUGGAUUGGAACAAUUUCAAUUCUGCCCUUUGAGGGUCAUCGAUCAUCAAGAUAAUGCCCAAUGAGUCUCACAAUCCACCAGUGACAUUCAGCAGCAUGUAGUGACAACCUAGUAGAAUGAAAGUAUGAAUCUCUAGGUAUGGUUAUCAUAUGAUUCAGUCCUUCUAUCGUGAGUCCCGACUUGAUGGG
rnacentral:lncRNA from 1 species